rnacentral:rRNA from 1 species
AGCGAACGCUGGCGGCAGGCCUAAAACAUGCAAGUCGAACGCCGUAGCAAGUACGGAGUGGCAGACGGGUGAGUAACGCGUGGGAACGUACCCUUUGGUUCGGAACAACACAGGGAAACUUGUGCUAAUACCGGAUAAGCCCUUACGGGAAAGAUUUAUCGCCAAAGGAUCGGCCCGCGUCUGAUUAGCUUGUUGGUGAGGUAACGGCUCACCAAGGCUACGAUCAGUAGCUGGUCUGAGAGGAUCGAUCAGCCACACUGGGACUGAGACACGG